AUUGAACGCUGGCGGAAUGCUUUACACAUGCAAGUCGAACGGCAGCACGGACUUCGGUCUGGUGGCGAGUGGCGAACGGGUGAGUAAUGUAUCGGAACGUGCCCAGUCGUGGGGGAUAACGUAGUGAAAAUUACGCUAAUACCGCAUACGAUCUAUGGAUGAAAGCGGGGGAUCGCAAGACCUCGCGCGAUUGGAGCGGCCGAUAUCAGAUUAGGUAGUUGGUGGGGUAAAGGCCCACCAAGCCAACGAUCUGUAGCUGGGCGGAGAGGACGACCGGCCACACUGGAACUGAGACACGGUCCAGACUCCUACGGGAGGCAGCAGUGGGGAAUUUUGGACAAUGGGCGAAAGCCUUAUCCAGCCAUUCCGCGUGCAGGAUGAAGGCCCUCGGGUUGUAAACUGCUUUUGUACAGAACGAAAAGGUUUCUACUAAUACUAGGAGCUCAUGACGGUACUGUAAGAAUAAGCACCGGCUAACUACGUGCCAGCAGCCGCGGUAA
rnacentral:rRNA from 1 species